rnacentral:rRNA from 1 species
AACGAACGCUGGCGGCAGGCUUAACACAUGCAAGUCGAACGUAUCCUUCGGGGUGAGUGGCAGACGGGUGAGUAACGCGUGGGAACGUGCCCUUCAGUUCGGGAUAACCCAGGGAAACUUGGGCUAAUACCGGAUACGUGCGAGAGCAGAAAGAUUUAUCGCUGAAGGAUCGGCCCGCGUCUGAUUAGCUAGUUGGUGGGGUAAUGGCCCACCAAGGCGACGAUCAGUAGCUGGUCUGAGAGGAUGAUCAGCCACAUUGGGACUGAGACACGGCCCAAACUCCUACGGGAGGCAACAGUGGGGAAUAUUGGACAAUGGGCGCAAGCCUGAUCCAGCCAUGCCGCGUGAGUGAUGAAGGCCUUAGGGUUGUAAAGCUCUUUCGUCCGGGACGAUAAUGACGGUACCGGAAGAUGAAGCCCCGGCUAACUUCGUGCCAGCCGCCGCGGUAA